GAUGAACGCUGGCGGCGUGCUUAACACAUGCAAGUCGAACGGAGAAACGGUAGCUUGCUAUCUUUUUUUAGUGGCGGACGGGUGAGUAACGCGUGGGUAACCUGCCCUUUGCAGGGGGAUAACAGUGAGAAAUCGCUGCUAAUACCGCAUACCAACUUCUUUCGCAUGAAAGAAGUUUGAAAGAUUUAUCGGCAAAGGAUGGACCCGCGUUGGAUUAGCUAGUUGGUGAGAUAACAGCCCACCAGGGCAACGAUCCAUAGACCGGCCUGAGAGGGUGAACGGCCACACUGGGACUGAGACACGGCCCAGACUCCUACGGGAGGCAGCAGUGGGAAUAUUGCACAAUGGGCGAAAGCCUGAUGCAGCGACGCCGCGUGAAGGAUGAAGGUCUUCGGAUUGUAAACUUCUAUCAGCAGGGAAGAAAGGGCUUAUAGCCUAUGACGGUACCUGACUAAGAAGCCCCGGCUAACUACGUGCCAGCAGCCGCGGUAAAAGUCAACG
rnacentral:rRNA from 1 species